rnacentral:rRNA from 1 species
GACGAACGCUGGCGGCGUGCCUAAUACAUGCAGGUCGAGCGCAGGAAACUGACGGAACUCUUCGGAGGGAAGGCAGCGGAAUGAGCGGCGGACGGGUGAGUAACACGUAAGGAACCUGCCUCAAGGAUUGGGAUAACUCCGAGAAAUCGGAGCUAAUACCGGAUAGUUCAUCGGACCGCAUGGUCCGUUGAUGAAAGGCGCUCCGGCGUCACCUUGAGAUGGCCUUGCGGUGCAUUAGCUAGUUGGUGGGGUAACGGCCCACCAAGGCGACGAUACAUAGCCGACCUGAGAGGGUGAUCGGCCACACUGGGACCGAGACACGGCCCAGACUCCUACGGGAGGCAGCAGUAGGGAAUCUUCCACAAUGGACGAAAGUCUGAUGGAGCAACGCCGCGUGAGUGAUGAAGGUUUUCGGAUCGUAAAACUCUGUUGUAAGGGAAGAACACGUACGAGAGGAAAUGCUCGUACCUUGACGGUACCUUACGAGAAAGCCACGGCUAACUACGUGCCAGCCGCCGCGUAA